GUCUACAGCCAUUCCACCCUGAACAAGCCUGAUCCCAUCUGAUCUCAGAAGCUAAGCAGGGCUGGGCCUGGUUAGUACUUGGAUGGGAGACCACCUAGGAAGACCAGGUGCUGUAGGCA
rnacentral:rRNA from 1 species